rnacentral:rRNA from 1 species
ACCUACGGGGGGCAGCAGUGGGGAAUAUUGCACAAUGGGGGAAACCCUGAUGCAGCAACGCCGCGUGAGUGAAGAAGUAUUUCGGUAUGUAAAGCUCUAUCAGCAGGGAAGAAGAAAGACGGUACCUGAGUAAGAAGCCCCGGCUAACUACGUGCCAGCAGCCGCGGUAAUACGUAGGGGGCAAGCGUUAUCCGGAUUUACUGGGUGUAAAGGGAGCGUAGACGGCGAUGCAAGCCAGAUGUGAAAGCCCGCGGCUCAACUGCGGUAG